rnacentral:lncRNA from 1 species
UUUUUUUGUUUUUUUUUUUUUUUACAUUUUUAUUUAUUUAUGAUAGUCACAGAGAGAGAGAGAGAGAGAAAGAGGCAGAGACACAGGCAGAGGGAGAAGCAGGCUCCAUGCACCAGGAGCCCAACAUGGGAUUCGAUCCCGGGUCUCCAGGAUCGUGCCCUGGGCCAAAGGCAGGCGCUAAACCGCUGCGCCACCCAGGGAUCCCAAAAAGUCAGUUCUUUAAACAAGUAAACAUCUUCCUCAAUCUUAGUUAUACAGUCUAGUAAGCCCUUUCUCCAUAAAUGUACAGUUUAGUUUAGCUCUUACUAAAUUAUCAAAAAUACUGAAUUAGUGAGCUCAAGGAAUUAUAAAGCAAGUGUGCAAAAAUGCUGUAUGUUUUACCUUUUAUUUUCUUGUUCAUUCACUAGUACUUUCUACAACAAAGUACUAUGCUAAGUCCCUACCCUCUAAAGACACACAGUUAAGCUAAAAAAUAUUACAGAAGUGGUAAGUGCUAAAAUAAGCAAUAAAUAAGUAAACAAAAAUGAUCAAUACAAAAGGUGACAUUUGAACUAAAUCUUAGAAACUGAACAGGAGUUCAUUCAAUUGACAAUGGGCCAGAUCUCAUUUCUAUCAAGACCGUUGUAUACAGAGGAGAAGACACAAGACAUGCUGCUGUGUCCUGGUAGUAGUUGGCAGAGCUGGAGCACGGUAAAUGUGGGAAAAACUAGAGGUGAAGCUUGUACAGAAUAGGUCGACAUGGGUAGAUCAUAAAAAGCCUUACACACUAGGAUAUCAAUAAACUUCAUAGGAUAUCUACUAUGAAGUAGGAGAGUAAUAUAUGUAGAGAAAGUAUUUCUAAACAUCAUAUAAAGUGCGGAAUGAAUACUUAAAGGAUUCUUCAUUGAUAAAAGGCAGUGCCUAUGGAGGUAGGGUAAGGAACAAUGGUAUGGGAAAACACAAGAAAUGUCACAGACACAGUAGCAACAAUCCGGGACUGGGAUGUCUUUUAGGGUCAGAGGAAAUGGAUGAAGGCGACUGAGAUUUCCAGCCUGAGUGAUGAAUGAGAGCCCCAUUAACUAAGUUAGGAAAUAUAGUAAAGGAAUAAGGAUUAAUGGGAAAGAUAAAAAAGAAAGAUGAAUUUGGUGAAAUAAAAGAGCCAGGAGAAAACAUUAAAGCAAAGUGCAGACCCAGGACUUAGGUUCAGAAAAGGAAAAAGCAGAUGAAUAUACCUAAAUAACACAUCUAAAACAAGAAGUAAUAUACCAAAUAAGAAGGAGGUAUCUUCAAUUUCAUUGACAAUGAGGUUCUAUCUUCUAAGUAAUAAAAACUCUAAGUGUAGCUGCAAAACUUUUUUUUUUAAAAACCAUGUUUAGCCAUUGAAAAGAUUUUUCGAAGUUUAAAGUAUGCAUGGUGUUUAAAAAAAGAAGACACUAAAAAGAAUAUACAAUAGAAGUAAAUGUGCCACCAUUGGGCCCCAGGUGACCUACCCAAAAUCAAUCAUACUUACCAAUUUCUUGAAUGUCUUUGCAAAGAUAUGCAAUAUAUGUAUAAGCCUAUAGAUGUAUAUAUUUUAUGCAUGCUCCUUUAAGUAGUCAAUGGAAAAUAAAUAAUUUUCAAGAAGAUAACAUUUUGUAUCUACUCAUGAGUAAUUUAUAAUUUUAAUUUGCCAAAAAAUUUAAUAGUAAUAAAGAUUAAAACCAAAACACCACUUAUUUCUCUUCCCAUACACUGACCUUUAGGGAAUUCUUUGGAUAACAGGUUCUGAAAGUAUGAGCACAAUAAGGUCCAUUCUUCUGAUGAGCCAUUCUUCUGAUGAUAUUUUACUCAAGACUUGAAAUCGGAACACCUGGGUGCCGCAGUGGUUGAGUGUCUGCCUUCAGCCCAAGGCAUGAUCCUGGAGACCCAGGAUCGAGUACCACAUCAGGCUCCUUGCAUGGAGCCUGCUUCUCCCUCUGCCUGUGUCUCUGCCUCUCUCUCUCUCUCUCUCUCUCUCUCAUGAAUAAAUAAAUAAAAUCUUUUUAAAAAAAUAAAAAAAUAAAAAAAAAGUGAACAAAUCAAACUCCCCAGAAGUGGCAUAUCUAAGAAUGUCUCAUAGGGUCUCUAAACCAGGAUGACAUGGAAGAGUUCAGGCCUGUGUUGUCCAACAUGGCAGCCACCAGCCACAUGUGGCUAUUGAAACUUAAACUCAUAUUAAUUUAAUUAAAUAAAAAACAAUUUCUCAGCUGUACCAGCCAUAUCUGAAGUACUCAACAGCCAUAUGCAGCUAGUGAAUACCAUAUUAAGAACCAAACGUCACAGAAGGAUAUAUUAGACAGUGCUGGCUUGGGCUAAAUGAAUCUCUGAAACUGCAUAUUAUAUUUGUGAAUAGACAUAUAUUCUAGGAAGAUGGUCUAUGAUUUUUAUUUGAUUCUCAAAGGAGACCAUCUAUGAUUCAGUUGCCAGUGCCAGAGCCUACAGUAGAUAGGAAAAAGCUCUUUUUUCAAAGAGUUAUCUCUUAUAAGAAGGAUAUAUUAACAGUAGCACUUCCCACCCACAGAUAUAGCCUUUCAACCAUCACAUUAAGACAAGUGGAACUGUGACUAGUACAAAAUGUUCUUCUACUUCCAUAAUGUUGUCAGGAGCCUAGGGCUUUACUGCUUGUUAAGAGCAAAACUAAUUGUAAACUACAACCAAAAAUAUAUACCUCUUCUGAUUCACCACCUCCAAGCUUGUGGUAUAUCUAAGAAUCUUUGCCUCCCUUUCAACCCCAAAUCCUUACUUUUGUAGCAAUGGGAAUCAUAACCAAAUAUUAAGUAGUAUUUCCAUAAGUAACGGAAACAUUGUUUAUGGAAAGCUAAUUCUGCAUCUCAUAGACAAACCAAACAGAAACAACAGUCUUCCAACAGCAACUGUAGAAUCCUGUUCCCCAGACUAAUUCCAAGGACAUAGAUAUAAACCUAAGAUUUAAUGCCUAACUCGUCAUCAGGAACUUACACAAAAUACAAAGACCCAAGGAUCUCCUGAGUGAGCUCCCAUUAUAAACAGUUUGGGUCUGGUAUUGAAAAAAUGAACAAACACUUCUAAACAGACUGCAUAUCAUGAUGUGAUGGCUGCCUAUUCAGUUACACUCAAUUUCUAGGAUAAAAUCCACUGUUCGAUUGAUUUAAAAACCUAUCAGUUCUCACUGUGAUUCACUGAUCCUAAUACAUCCCUGAAAAAAAUCUAAAUAUCUUAAGAUAGUAUCUUAAGUGACUCAAAUAAAAAUGACUGAAAGAAGGGAAUGAUCCACCUACACCAAAAGACCUCAUAUGAAUAUGAAUAAAAGUAGAAGUCAAAACAGAUCCUCAAUGUAAGACAAGACCAAAGCUUAUCCUACAGCAUAAAUUAUGUAGGCCUGAUGUGUGAACUAUAAGGUCUGAGUUUAUCAACAUUCCACAGUCAAAUAUUAUUAAACAGUAUUUAAAAAUCAAUAAACUGGCAGUUUCUUAUCAAGUGAAACCUGUAUUUAUAUUGUCCCUGGCAAUCCGUUACUAGGUAUUUCCAUGGAAAAGGAAUUGGCAAAUUAUGGCCAUGUGCCAUAUCUGGCCCACCUCCUGUUUCUAAAUAAAGUCUUCUUGGAACACAACUGCAUUCAUUCAUUUAUGUAUUGUAUAUGACUGCUUUCAUAUUACAAGAGUAGAGUAGGUAAAACAGAGAUCCUAUAGCCUAAAAUACAGACUAUUUAGUUCUUUACUGAUCCCUGCACUUGAGAAAUAACUUAGGUUCACAGAAAAUCUAAACACAGUUUAUAGCAGCUCAAUUCAUUAUGGCUAAAAAAUAGAAACAACCCAAAUGUCACUCAACAGGUUAAUGGAUACACAAACUGUGACAAAGACAUACGACUCAACAAUAAAAGCAAAUUAUCAAUGCAUACAAUAACUUGGGUGAUUCUCAAAGCAUUAUUCUGCAUGAAAGGAACCAGUCUCAAAAGGUUACAUGCUGUAAGAUUCCAUUAUAGGGAAGACAAACUGAUGAAGUCAGAGUAGUCGCCAGGAGUUAAAGGUAAAGGGAGAGACAAGGAAGGAAUAGGACAAGGAAGUUUUUGGGGUGAUGAAACCAUUCUAUGCACAUAAAGUGGUAGUGGUUACACUACUCUGUAUAUUUAUUAGAGUUCACAGAGCUGUAUACCAACCAAAGAUAAAUUUUAUUUCAUAAUAAUUUGAAAAAAAUAAAAAUCUUAUGGACUGGGAUAAUGAUUUAAAGAAAAACAAUAAACUAACAAGAAAACAGUCUCUAAAAAUUCAGGGCAAAGAAUAAGAGUUUGCCAAAGAAGAUCAGAUAAGAAAAAGUAGUCUAGGUCACUAUAUUCUCAGGUUUUAUUCCUGGUCUUACCAUUGAUUCAUUAUAAGGCAUUAAAUCAACAACCCAUUUCAGUAUUUCUCGAUGAUUUUUGCGCAUACGGUUUGACAGGUGGUAUCUAGGAGGAAUACAAAAAUCCUCCAAACAAUAUUUCCCCUGUCAAAUAUAACAUUCUACAUGAAGAAAUACUACAAUUCAACUUAUCUCAUAAUACUUCCAUUCUCCCUCCUGAUUAGUCAUAAAUAUAAAGGUGUGGUUUAUAGUAAAGCUGUCAGGUCUUUUCACACACAUUUUCUCACUCUGCUCUCAAAGCUCGUUCACAUUUCCAGCUGUCUAGAAAAUCUGGCCUCUUAUUCCAUACAUACACCAAAAGACUCUAUCACAUAUGUUUUCAUUCUAUACGUGGUCUGCAAUUUUCUUUCUGGCAACCAGACCUGCAGAUUGCCCAUGAGCAGACUGCAAACUGCUACCCUGAAUUCAUCAAAAGGUAAAUAUGCUAAAUACAAAACAAUUUUCAGGGAAAACAAGGGGUAUGGUUUAGUCCUUUUACAGAAUCAACAAUAAAAGCAACGUAAAUUAUAUAUUUUGUAAAUGUAAUAACAUAGAUUUCAAAAAAACAAACAAACAAUAAAAACUGAAAGAUCAAGAAUCCUGUGCCAGUAAGAACAUUCAGACAAACUGCUUUCAUUGUAUAUUGUUAAUAAACCAUAUCUCAAGUUAAAAUCGGAAAGAGAAUGCAGGAGUGACCACUAAUCUAUAAAUCAUUUAUAUCCACAUCAAAGAAAACAGAAAAAAAAUUUUGAGAAGAAAAAAACUUUAAGGGCAAAAAUAAAUUUUUCAUCAUGACAGCACAUUCAAAAGUCUUUAGUUUUUUGUGGUGAUUUUAAAAUGUCAACAAAUUCUUAGACACUCUUACCUUCAAAAGGAGGAAGGAGCCUAUCUCCCUCCUGAAAGAGAACUCUUUUCUAACAAAUACACUGUUGGGAGAAAAACAACCAAUUUCCAAGACUAGGUCAUUAAAAAAAUUCAAAUCCUAGCUCUGCCAUUUAUAAUCAUUACUCUUCCAGGUCCAUUGUCAAAAUUAGAGAUAACAUAUAUAAAGCCUUUUACUUAUUGCCAGGACAUUAGAAGCUUAACAGCUUCUAAACAACCAUUUAUAGUCCUCAAUAUCUCAUGGAAGAUGCGUAUUAUCAACAUUUAAAAAUGAAAAAAGUGGGGUGCCUGGGUGGUUAAGUUGGUUGAGUGGCUAACUUUUGGUUUCAGCUCUGGUUUGAUCUGAGGGUUGUGAGAUCGAGCCUCACUUGGGACUCCACACUUAGCACAGAGUCUGCAUGUGUUUCUCUCUCCCUUUGCCCCUCCUCCCCCUCUUAAAAAAAAACACUUUAAAAAUAAAAUAAAGAUGAAAAAAGUUAAUUAUGUUGUUAAAAGAAUGAAAGUCACAAACAGCUGAAGUCAAACCAAACUGCAAGGAGUAUAAAGACUUUAGGCAAAAUUCUCACUUUCUAUUAGGUUGAAUCAAAUGAAAUGCCAUUUUUAUUAGGUCAGAAGGGGUAGAGUACCAGCAACUAUAUGGUUAAACCUAAGAGUUAUAAAAAGAAAAUAUAGGUGACCAAGAAAUAUUAUUGAAGUGGCUUUUCUAAUUAUUAUAAACUAAAAAAAAUCAUAUGUCACAAGUUAUGGUAGAAGAAAAAUUGAAGCUAAGAUUGUUAUAUCAUGAUACAGUUUUUCUAUAAUCAUUUUGAUAUGUUAUUAACCUAGCCUCAUCUGAGUUCAAAUGAAAGUUAAAUUUAUUUGUAAAUAGUUCUAGCAUUCUCUAUCAGAAAGAUCACCUUGAGGCACUGAAAAGUGAAGGAUGUGACCCAGAACAAAGCCUUAAGAACAACUCAUAGAUUUUAGUUUCUAGUGGACUACAGACAUGAACAAUAGACCACUUUCUCCAAUUCAAACAAAAGAUGGGUCUUAUAAAAUCAGAAGAAUGACUGGAAAAUUAGCACCUUGAGAAAAACAAAUUCCCAUUCAUCUGAGAGCCAGAUACUAGAUUAGUCACCAUGAAGUAAACACAGAGAAAACAAUGGUAUUUUAAGGGCGUCCAUGGUAAAAAGGAGAAAACACUAUGCAUUACAAACUCCUUUUAUAUUUAUUACUUUAAGCGGCAAAUUACUCUGGCUUAAACUCAAUAGUAAUGGAAAUAUUUCUAAGUAUCUUACUUAUUUAUGACACUGAAAUUCUAGGUACUCAUUUAAUCCUCAAAAAACCCUAUGAGAUAAGUACUACUAUUACCCACAUUUUACAGAAGAGAAUAUUGAGGCAUAGAGAGACUGAAUAAGUAUCCACUGUCACAAACAAGUGGUAAAGUCUAGAUUUAAUCAGGCUAUUUGGCUCUAUAGUUAAUGCUCUUAAUAAGUUCAUUAUGUUACCUCUCAUAUUCAACUAACUUCAUGAUGUUACCUCUUAAACUUCCUAGGCAUGGGUCUAAAUACAGUCAGUUUUCUGGUACCAACUCUGACAACCAAGGAAGAGGACUAAAUUAAACUAUUAUUCUCAGGGUGCCUGAAUGGCUCAGUCAGUUAAGCAUCUAACUCUUGAGUGUGGCUC